rnacentral:rRNA from 1 species
UGCGUAGGCGGUCUUUUAAGUCGGGAGUGAAAGGCUACGGCUCAACCGUAGUAAGCUCUUGAAACUGGAGGACUUGAGUGCAGGAGAGGAGAGUGGAAUUCCUAGUGUAGCGGUGAAAUGCGUAGAUAUUAGGAGGAACAUCAGUUGCGAAGGCGGCUCUCUGGACUGUAACUGACACUGAGGCACGAAAGCGUGGGGAGCAAACA